CCUACGGGAGGCAGCAGUGGGGAAUAUUGGACAAUGGGCGGAAGCCUGAUCCAGCAACGCCGCGUGAGGGAUGACGGCCUUCGGGUUGUAAACCUCUUUCAGUACCGACGAAGCGCAAGUGACGGUAGGUACAGAAGAAGCACCGGCCAACUACGUGCCAGCAGCCGCGGUAAUACGUAGGGUGCGAGCGUUGUCCGGAAUUAUUGGGCGUAAAGGGCUCGUAGGCGGUUUGUCGCGUCGGGAGUGAAAACGGCCGUGCUUAACACGGCGCUUGCUUUCGAUACGGGCAGACUAGAGGUAUGCAGGGGAGAACGGAAUUCCUGGUGUAGCGGUGAAAUGCGCAGAUAUCAGGAGGAACACCGGUGGCGAAGGCGGUUCUCUGGGCAUUACCUGACGCUGAGGAGCGAAAGUGUGGGGAGCGAACAGGAUUAGAUACCCUGGUAGUCCACACCGUAAACGUUGGGCNCUAGGUGUGGGGUCCCAUUCCACGGAUUCCGUGCCGCAGCGUACGCAUAGCGCCCGCCCGUCGGGUAGGUACGGCCGGCCGACGGACGUAAACCGUACGAAACUAGAAUUAGUACGGCGUGAGACGUGCCGACGGACGACGACGAGGGAGUAGG
rnacentral:rRNA from 1 species